CGGCGGACGGGUGAGUAACACGUGUGUAACCUGCCUGUUGACUGUGGUAACUCCGGGAAACCGGGGCUAAUACCGGAUGCUUGAUUGAACCGCAUGGUUCAAUCAUAAAAGGUGGCUUUUCGCUUCCACUUUCUGAUGGACCCCCGGCCCAUUAACUAAUUGGGGAGGGAACGGCUCCCCCAGGGGACCAUGCCUAACCCAACUGAAAAGGUGAUCGGGCCCCCUGGGACUGAAACCCGGGCCAAAAUCCUACCGGAGGGAACAGUAAGGAAUCUUCCCCAAUGGACSAAAGUCUGAAGGAACAACCCCCCGUGGGUGAUGAAGGGUUUCCGAUCCUAAAACUCUGGUGGUAGGGAAAAACAAAUWCCGUUCUAAUAAGGCGGCACCUUGGCGGGACCUAACCCAAAAGCCCCGGCUAACUACCUGGCCGCCGCCCCGGUAAUACCUAAGUGGCAAGCGUUGUUCGGAAUUUUUGGSGUAAAGSGGGGGCGGCUGUUUCUAAGUCUGAUGGGAAACCCCCGCUCACCGGGAGGGUCAUUGAAACUGGGAA
rnacentral:rRNA from 1 species